UCCGCAUUAGUAUAUCGGCUAGUAUAUCUGCCUCUCAUAAUUUGGGCGGCGCGGAAGAGAAGGGUUCGAUUCCCUUAUGCGGAA
rnacentral:tRNA from 1 species